rnacentral:rRNA from 1 species
UUUUAGCAAAGACAUUGCUUACUGUGUAAUAAUAGUAGGUAUUUUCUGCCCACUGCAGUUUGUGAAGGGCUGCAGUAUUUUGACUGUAUAAAGGUAGCAUAAUCAUUAGCCUUUUAAUUUGGGGCUGGUAUGAACGGGGAGCCGAGGGGGCUGUGUGUUUAUAGGGAAUAUUGAAUUUUAUGGUUUUGUGAAAAAUCAAAAAUAAGUUUAAGGGACAAGAAGACCCUAUUUUAAGUUUUAUGGUUAUAUAAGGAAAGUAUAAAGGAGGUUUUAUAAAGAUAGAUUAGUAUAAUUUUUAUAUUUUUGUUUGGCUGGGGCGGUAUAUGAAGUAACAUGAUAUUAUUUUUAAUACCAGAGUGAGACGAAUAAAGACCUAAUUAGGUUAAUUAAAUGGAUAAUUACUUUAGGGAUAACAGCGUUAUUAUUUUUAAGAGUUCUGAUUGACAAAAUAGUUUGCGACCUCGAUGUUGGAUUAGAAUUAGCGUUGGUGCAGUAGUCGGCGUGUUUUGGUCUGUUCGACCAAUAGGAAACCGGA